AGUGAACGCUGGCGGUAGGCCUAACACAUGCAAGUCGAACGGCAGCACAGUAAGAGCUUGCUCUUACGGGUGGCGAGUGGCGGACGGGUGAGGAAUACAUCGGAAUCUACUUUUUCGUGGGGAUAACGUAGGGAAACUUACGCUAAUACCGCAUACGACCUACGGGUGAAAGCAGGGGAUCUUCGGACCUUGCGCGAUUGAAUGAGCCGAUGUCGGAUUAGCUAGUUGGCGGGGUAAAGGCCCACCAAGGCGACGAUCCGUAGCUGGUCUGAGAGGAUGAUCAGCCACACUGGAACUGACACACGGUCCAGACUCCUACGGGAGGCAGCAGUGGGGAAUAUUGGACAAUGGGCGCAAGCCUGAUCCAGCCAUACCGCGUGGGUGAAGAAGGCCUUCGGGUUGUAAAGCCCUUUUGUUGGGAAAGAAAAGCAGCAGGUUAAUACCCCGCUGUUCUGACGGUACCCAAAGAAUAAGCACCGGCUAACUUCGUG
rnacentral:rRNA from 1 species